AUAAACGCUGGCGGCGCACAUAAGACAUGCACGUUGAACGGACUUAAUCGAAAUAUUUAUAUUUUGAAGCGGUUAGUGGCGGACUGGUGAGUAACGCGUAAGGAACCUGCCUAUUAGAGGGGAAUAACAGUGAGAAAUCAUUGCUAAUACCGCAUAUGCCAUAGAUAUCACAUGAUAACAGUGGGAAAGGAGCAAUCCGCUAAUAGAUGGCCUUGCGUCUGAUUAGAUAGUUGGUGGGGUAACGGCCUACCAAGUCGACGAUCAGUAGCCGGACUGAGAGGUUGAACGGCCACAUUGGGACUGAGAUACGGCCCAGACUCCUACGGGAGGCAGCAGUCGGGAAUAUUGCGCAAUGGAGGAAACUCUGACGCAGUGACGCCGCGUAUAGGAAGAAGGUUUUCGGAUUGUAAACUAUUGUCGUUAGGGAAGAGAAAGGACAGUACCUAAGGAGGAAGCUCCGGCUAACUACGUG
rnacentral:rRNA from 1 species